UACAGAGGGUGCGAGCGUUGUCCGGAAUCACUGGGCGUAAAGGGCGCGUAGGUGGCGAGAUAAGCGUGUGGUGAAAGCCCGGGGCUCAACCCCGUGUCUGCCAUGCGGACUGUCUUGCUCGAGCGUAGUAGAGGCAGGUGGAAUUCCGGGUGUAGCGGUGGAAUGCGUAGAGAUCCGGAGGAACACCUGUGGUGUAGACAGCUUACUGGACCACUUCUGACGCUGAGACACGAAAGCGUGGGUAGCAAACAGG
rnacentral:rRNA from 1 species